UUGGAGGGCAAGUGUGGUGCCAGCAGCCGCGGUAAUUCCAGCUGCAACAGUGUAUAUGUAAGUUGCCGCAGUUAAACAGCUUGUAGAUGAAUUCCGUGGUCAGUAGAUUGGUCGUGCCAUUGGUAUGUACUGGUCUUCCUGGCUCCUCGUUCAUGAUGAACCGUAAAGCCAUUAAUUUGGUGGUGCGGGGAGAGUGGACGGUGAAUUUGAAAAAAUUACAGUGUUUAAACCAGGUUUACGCUUGAAUACAUUAGCAUGGAAUAAUGAAAUAGGACGUUCGAUUUUAUUUUGUUGGUUUCUAGGAUUGACGUAAUGCAUAAUAGGGAUAGUUGGGGGCAUUAGUAUUCAAUCGUCAGAGGUGAAAUUUGCGGAUUUAUUGAAGAUUAAGUGGAGUGAAAGCAUUUGCCAAGGAUGUUUUCAUUAAUCAAGAAGGACAGUUAGGGGACAGAAGACGAUCAGAUACCGUCGUAGUCUUAACCAUAUGCAUAUGCCGACUAGGGAUCUGUUGAUGUUAAUUUUUCAAUGACUCGUUCGGGACUUCACGGGAAAC
rnacentral:rRNA from 1 species